rnacentral:ncRNA from 1 species
UUGCAGGUGAAAGUCCUGCCUCGGCAAUGGAUGGUUGGGCCGAGUAGUGAUAGCAGACCUCAGCUUGGGGAGACCCGGGCUGGGGCAAGCUCUGCCGUAAACGGGCGGGCCUGUCGGUCGCGCAAUCCGUCGGCAGGGACUGGUCAGCCGCUCUAGCCAAUCAGCAGGCCGCAACAUGA